AGUGAACGCUGGCGGUAGGCCUAACACAUGCAAGUCGAACGGCAGCACAGUAAGAGCUUGCUCUUACGGGUGGCGAGUGGCGGACGGGUGAGGAAUACAUCAGAAUCUACUUUUUCGUGGGGGAUAACGUAGGGAAACUUACGCUAAUACCGCAUACGACCUACGGGUGAAAGCAGGGGAUCUUCGGACCUUGCGCGAUUGAAUGAGCCGAUGUCGGAUUAGCUAGUUGGCGGGGUAAAGGCCCACCAAGGCGACGAUCCGUAGCUGGUCUGAGAGGAUGAUCAGCCACACUGGAACUGAGACACGGUCCAGACUCCUACGGGAGGCAGCAGUGGGGAAUAUUGGACAAUGGGCGCAAGCCUGAUCCAGCCAUACCGCGUGGGUGAAGAAGGCCUUCGGGUUGUAAAGCCCUUUUGUUGGGAAAGAAAAGCAGCGGGUUAAUACCCCGCUGUUCUGACGGUACCCAAAGAAUAAGCACCGGCUAACUUCGUG
rnacentral:rRNA from 1 species